GAUUCAUUGACCUGAGCUGUAUUCUCUCCUUGGCCUCCACAGAGAGUGGUGAGACCUACCAGAGGCAGGUGCUGUCCAUCUUUAGCAUCGCCUCGGGGAUCUGUCUUCUUGGAGUGGCAUGCAUGGCUCUCUACCGCCGCAACAAGAGACACAGGGAAAAACUCCGAGCCCACUUCUCAGAGAGCCGCAGCCUGAGGGACUGCAGUAUCAACGCCUCUGGCCUCAUGUCCAAAUCCACUCAAAGGUCUCAGUACAGCCUCCAGCUCCAAAAGGAGUAGCUCCCUUUCACUGAGUCCUGCCCAGCAGCGGAGAGAGACUAAUUGCUUCAGGACCCCACCUAUUUCCAGAGGGAAACACAAUCUCAUUGAUGGAUCAAGAGUCGCU
rnacentral:lncRNA from 1 species